rnacentral:lncRNA from 1 species
GGUUUCAGGGGCUACGUGACCAGACCUCAGGCCUGGCCGUGGAGGGGAAGCUGGUGGGCAUCUGUGUGCCACGAGUGAGCCCCCUGCGGACCCCUAAGACCGGCGGGCAUUUCCUUGGAAGCUGGUUCCCAAGGUCCCUGUCCCCCUCUGGAUUAGCUUGUUCAUCCUAAAACUGCCCCAGCGCGUUGGAAGGAGGUGUGACGCGUACGGUUGCCGAUCUUGAGAAACGGACCUUCCACAACUGGCAGACGCCUUGGGUGCAGAUAUAUUUGAAUCGUUUUCUUCCAUUAACUGGACCCUACUGUUGGCGUUAUCCUGUGACCUGUGUUUUCCACGUACCCAGUGUUCUGUGUCAAGUACAC